rnacentral:misc_RNA from 1 species
GUGAAUCAUCGAAUUUUUGAACGCAAAUUGCACUCUCUGGGAAGAGUAGGCCUGUGUGAGGGUGAGCCUAAAAAAAAUCGACGUAGUCGCUGUGUCGCGGUGACAUUCGGCGGAAAUUGGGUCAUCUUAAACCUGUGUGGUUUUUAAGCGGCUUAGAAUUUGCGUUACGAUUCCACUAACGUGUCUAAGAGUGUACUUCUUACACACGUUUAAGGUAUCGAUCUUUAUUAGACGUUGCGGUUGCAUCGGAUCGCGUCCAUAAGUAUUUCAUUAACGGACCGCAUACAGUUAAU